rnacentral:misc_RNA from 1 species
GAUGUUUACAACCAGCCAAUGAUGCCACUCUCUCCUGGUGGGGUUCUUCCUGCUGGGCGCAUCGGGAUCGGUCAUUAUGAGGGUGUAGUAAGCACCCGCCUCUCCUUCGUACUUCACAUCCGGUUUGUCUUUGACCUCAGUAGGAGUCAGUUCGUUUCCUAACUUCACCUCCUUGCCAUUCUUGUACUUCACUUCGAUGCUCU